GCCCACACUGGCUGAGUGGGCUAAAGCGCUCCACUUAUGGAUCACUGCCAUCUCACAUCUGUCUGCAUGGGUUCAAGUCUCAUGUUAGGCC